GUCUCCUUCUGGAGGUGGUUUCAAGGUUCUUUCCAUCCUGAGCAAAGAACAGGCCAGGACAAGCACGGGUGGUAGCAACGUUUUAUUAAAGGACAAUGAGCACCAGGAAGGGACCCGGGCAGGCACCCACAGCCCACCAGUACCCCACUGACAGCACCCCACAUACAGUGGCUCACAUGGAAACAUCGACCGCACAGUUCUGCGGGCUGGGAAGUCACCACCAAGGUGCACACAGAUCUGGUGAGAGGUGGAGAUGGAACCAGGGCCUCACACACGCCAGGCCAGCACCUUUCCUCUGAGCUGCAUCCCCUCAUUUCUCAACUGUCCUGUGUCGUCCACCAAAAACUAGUGAGAAGGGAACUGUCGUGAUCAAAGUAAAAAGUGGGCCAGACACACAGGUGAAUGUCAUGGCAAGGGCGCAGCCAUCGCUGAACUGUCACAGUUUCAGUUUGAGGUGACAGAAAAAGGGGUGGAAAUGGAUAGUGGGUGGCUGUUCAGCU
rnacentral:lncRNA from 1 species